rnacentral:rRNA from 1 species
GAUGAACGCUGGCGGCGUGCCUAAUACAUGCAAGUCGAGCGAACGGACGAGAAGCUUGCUUUUCUGAUGUUAGCGGCGGACGGGUGAGUAACGCGUGGAUAACCUACCUAUAAGACUGGGAUAACUUCGGGAAACCGGAGCUACUACCGGCUAAUAUUUUGAACCGCAUGGUUCAAAAGUGAAAGACGGUCUUGCUGUCACUUAUAGAUGGAUCCGCGCUGCAUUAGCUAGUUGGUAAGGUAACGGCUUACCAAGGCAACGAUGCGUAGCCGACCUGAGAGGAUGAUGAGGCAUGCUGGAACUGAUGCACGGUACAGACUCCUACGGGAGGCAGCAGUGGGGAAUAUUGGACAAAGGGCGCAAGACUGAUCCAGACAUACCGAGUGGGUGAAGAAGGACUUCGGGUUGUAAAGCUUUGUUGUUGGGAAAGAAAAGAAGCAGGUUAAUAACCCGCGGUUCUGACGGGACCAAAAGAAUAAGCACGGGCUAACUUCGUG